rnacentral:rRNA from 1 species
AGAACGAACGCUGGCGGCAGGCUUAACACAUGCAAGUCGAACGGUUGUAGCAAUACAGCAGUGGCAGACGGGUGAGUAACACGUGGGAACCUUCCUAGGGGUACGGAACAACUCAGGGAAACUUGAGCUAAUACCGUAUACGUCCGUGAGGAGAAAGAUUUAUCGCCCUUAGACGGGCCCGCGUAGGAUUAGGUAGUUGGUGGGGUAAUGGCCUACCAAGCCUACGAUCCUUAGCUGAUCUGAGAGGAUGAUCAGCCACACUGGGACUGAGACACGGCCCAGACUCCUACGGGAGGCAGCAGUGGGGAAUCUUGGACAAUGGGCGCAAGCCUGAUCCAGCCAUGCCGCGUGAGUGAAGAAGGCCUUCGGGUUGUAAAGCUCUUUUACCAGGGACGAUAAUGACGGUACCUGGAGAAUAAGCCCGGCAAACUCGUGCCAGCAGCCGC